rnacentral:tRNA from 1 species
GGAGGAUUCGCCUAGUGGUCUAUGGCGCCGCCUUGGAAAGGCGGUUGGGUCUGUGCCUUCACGAGUUCGAAUCUCGUAUCCUCCG